AUUGAACGCUGGCGGCAUGCUUUACACAUGCAAGUCGAACGGUAGAGGGGGCAACCCCUUGAGAGUGGCGAACGGGUGAGUAAUGCAUCGGAACGUGCCCAGUCGUGGGGGAUAACGAAGCGAAAGCUGUGCUAAUACCGCAUACGAUCUCUGGAUGAAAGCGGGGGACCGAAAGGCCUCGCGCGAUUGGAGCGGCCGAUGUCAGAUUAGGUAGUUGGUGGGGUAAAGGCCUACCAAGCCAACGAUCUGUAGCUGGUCUGAGAGGACGACCAGCCACACUGGGACUGAGACACGGCCCAGACUCCUACGGGAGGCAGCAGUGGGGAAUUUUGGACAAUGGGCGCAAGCCUGAUCCAGCAAUGCCGCGCGCAGGAAGAAGGCCUUCGGGUUGUAAACUGCUUUUGUACGGAACGAAACGGUCUGGGUUAAUACCCUGGGCUAAUGACGGUACCGUAAGAAUAAGCACCGGCUAACUACGUGCCAGCCGCCGCCGUAA
rnacentral:rRNA from 1 species